UACGGGGGGGGCAAGCGUUGUUCGGAAUUACUGGGCGUAAAGGGCUCGUAGGCGGCCAACUAAGUCAGUUGUGAAAUCUCCGAGCUUAACUCGGAAAGGUCAACUGAUACUGUGCGGCUAGAGUGCAGAAGGGGCAACUGGAAUUCUUGGUGUAGCGGUGAAAUGCGUAGAUAUCAAGAGGAACACCUGCGGCGAAGGCGGGUUGCUGGGCUGACACUGACGCUGAAGCGCGAAAGCUAGGGGAGCGAACGGG
rnacentral:rRNA from 1 species